CAGAAACACAGAGACAACAAUGGGGACAUUCCUGCAGAGUCGCUCAGAGCAGGGAAUGUGAGACAGACGCGGCCUCGUCUCUGUCUGCUUGGCACCCCUGUGCCUGGCAAAUGCAGACCUGGCACAUCACUUCCCAACCUAAAGUCCUUCGGCUCGCAGCAGCCAGGUUGUGGAAGCAACCACACGUCCACAAAGAGACGAAGGUGGAACAUCACUCAGUCUUAGAAAGGAAGGGGACUCUGCCAGCGGCUGCAACACGCACGAACAUGGAGACAGCACGGCGCGUGGAGUCAGACACAAAACGACACACCUGGAAAAGGAUCAUCACCUUCAACCAAUUUGGGAGCAGUUUUGAAGAACUUUUGAGGAGAAUAUUUUCAACAUCUAUUUCCUCCAUGAAGCCCUAUGGAGGCCUCUAGAGUUGGUCCUACAUCUUGAAUCUUGAGGGAGCUGCUGACAGAGGAAAUACUGAAUUGGGAACAGGUGCAAGGGGGCUGUGCCCAGGAGAGAGUCCUGGAGGAACCUGAUGCCAAGCUGUGAGCCCACCAGGCAGAGCGCACAUUCCAGAACCUGGGCUGCUUGCCAACCCGCCUGCCAGAGUACCUGACCCCUGACCCUAGAUGGUGCUGAGCCUGGCCCUGUCCAUCUGGGGCAAAGUUGAGGCUACCUCUAAACCUCAUCAAGUCUGCUUUUGGUGAGAAAUACCCAAAUGGAGGCCUUCAUCACCACCAGGGACACCGGG
ensembl:lncRNA